AUUGAACGCUGGCGGCAUGCUUUACACAUGCAAGUCGAACGGUAACAGGCCUUCGGGCGCUGACGAGUGGCGAACGGGUGAGUAAUGCAUCGGAACGUGCCCAGUCGUGGGGGAUAACGCAGCGAAAGCUGUGCUAAUACCGCAUACGAUCUGCGGAUGAAAGCGGGGGACCUUCGGGCCUCGCGCGAUUGGAGCGGCCGAUGUCAGAUUAGGUAGUUGGUGGGGUAAAGGCUCACCAAGCCAACGAUCUGUAGCUGGUCUGAGAGGACGACCAGCCACACGGGGACUGAGACACGGCCCAGACUCCUACGGGAGGCAGCAGUGGGGAAUUUUGGACAAUGGGCGCAAGCCUGAUCCAGCAAUGCCGCGUGCAGGAAGAAGGCCUUCGGGUUGUAAACUGUUUUUGUACGGAGCGAAAAGGCUCCCUCUAAUACAGGGGGCUCAUGACGGUACCGUAAGAAUAAGCACCGGCUAACUACGUGCCAGCAGCCGCGGUAAAAC
rnacentral:rRNA from 1 species